AACGAACGCUGGCGGCGCGCCUAAUACAUGCAAGUCGAACGAGAAGGUGUAGCAAUACACUUGUAAAGUGGCGAACGGGUGAGGAAUACAUGGGUAACCUACCCUCGAGUGGGGAAUAACCAGCCGAAAGGUUGGCUAAUACCGCAUACGAUUCCCGGUUUGCGGAUCGGGAAGGAAAGCGAUGCUGUGAGUAUCGCGCUCAAGGAUGGGCUCAUGUCCUAUCAGCUUGUUGGUGAGGUAACGGCUCACCAAGGCUUCGACGGGUAGCUGGUCUGAGAGGACGAUCAGGCACACUGGAACUGCGACACGGGCCAGACUCCUACGGGAGGCAGCAGUAAGGAAUAUUGCGCAAUGGGCGAAAGCCUGACGCAGCGACGCCGCGUGGGGGAUGAAGGUCUUCGGAUUGUAAACCCCUUUCGGGAGGGAAGAUGGGAUGGGUAACCAUUCGGACGGUACCUCCAGAAGCAGCCACGGCUAACUUCGUGCCAGCCGCCGCCGUAAAAC
rnacentral:rRNA from 1 species